GGGUCAGUAGGUUGGUCGUGCCACCGGUACGUACUGGUCUCACUGAUUCCUCCUUCCUGAAGAACCGUAAUGCCAUUAAUUUGGUGUUGCGGGGAAACAGGACUGUUACUUUGAAGAAAUUAGAGUGUUUAAAGCAAGCUAAAGCUUGAAUACAUUAGCAUGGAAUAAUGAAAUAGGACGAUCGAUCCUAUUUUGUUGGUUUCUAGGAUUGACGUA
rnacentral:rRNA from 1 species